CCUUUUGGUCAAGCGGUCAAGCUUCAGUUGUGAUGUGAAGCUCACAAUUCCUAUUUUAUCGUUUUCAAGUUUUGAGUGAGGUUUCAUUCAAUGAGAGAUGUUCUCUUUUGGGAAUUUUUCUAUACCUUUUUUGAAGCAGCCAAGUUUAUUUUUUGAAAUAGUAGUUGUGUGCAUGUUGUUGGAUGGUAAUUGGAUGGAAAGAGGGUGCUGUUGUGAAAAAUCUGAUUAUAUGAAUGAGUUAAAUACAUUAGUUAUACAUUGAUGUUGAUUGUAUUUUGUAAAAUGUGCAGGAUAUAUUGAGAUGGAUAGAGAAGUUAAUCAAGAGGGUCAAGUUAGAGUUAGGCAUCGAGUACAAACCCAACCGAUAGUUGAAUUAAAUAGUUCCCUAUCAUCCUUUCAAAAGAAAAGAAUAAAGUCCACACUCUUUAAAUUUUUAGUUGAUUUAAUUAACAAUGUCUAUCUAGUUUUUGUUGUUGCUGCAUCGGCAUCCAUCACCAUGUCCAUGUAUAUGUUUGUUGUUGUUACUUGGACAACUUGUUUUAAAUGUAAAUAUAUGAACAGACC